UGCGAACGUUGUCCCCUACAUCUUUAACAGCAUUAGCACAAUCCUCAUUCAUUAACCGAAUAACCGUCACGAGACUAGCUUUUUAGCUUUCCGCAGCUACUAAUUUAGAACUGGUUUCGGACAAUAGACAUUCAAGUUUAUGUACGUCAGAUUUAAGUGCCAUAUUUGCUUUUUUUAAUAAGUCGUUUUCUUGGGCAAGUUGAUUAUCUCUCACUUGGCUAUUACGAAUUUCACUGAUUAUUCCCAACUAUGAUUAUUCCCAUCAUCCUUUAGCGCCCAUAUUGCACAUUUGACUAUUGUCUCAGUGACACUCCAAUUGAAAUAGCUGUAUAACUAGUUAAUACGACGUUGCAUCCAUUACAAAAAAACAUAAAUAAAAAACACAGGAACGUAAAAAUGAGGCGAAAAAAACUCACUAAAAUGAAGCAUUUUAUCCCCAUAUCGGUUCCGCAUCCGCUCCGUGGAUCCGCUCGGUUCCCCAUCCGCUUCCGCAUUUUAACCUAAUUGUGACACGUUUCACAAUAACUAGACUACACAAUAACAAGUCUCAUUGACCUUUGACUUUAUAUUCCCAAGAUCAGUUCAAGUUGUUUUUCAUGACUCAUUUUCAGCUUUUCGCAAGUAUUCAAUGUCACUUUAGAUGUCAAUAGUUUCACAGUUAUAGCAGUGUAGCAACUUAUACAGUCGACGUAUGAUGAACAUACGGUCUAAACAAUAUAUAUCGGCACUUAAAGGUUUAAAAGUAUUAAUUGAAUGCCGGUAACUGAAUACAAAACAUCAAUUUAUAUAUUGCGUAGAAUCUGAAAGAUUUUCUCAAUAUUCAUGUCUGAAAUGUUUAUAUAUUUGAAAACAAUACUGUAUCGCUCCUUCCUAGCUCUG